CUGUUGGCGACCGGCGCACGGGUGAGUAACGCGUAUGCAACCUACCUACUACAGGGGAAUAACCCGGAGAAAUUCGGACUAAUACCGCAUAAUACAGGGGUCCCGCAUGGGAAUAUUUGUUAAAGAUUUAUCGGUAGUAGAUGGGCAUGCGUUCCAUUAGCCAGUUGGUGAGGUAACGGCUCACCAAAGCAACGAUGGAUAGGGGAACUGAGAGGUUUAUCCCCCACACUGGAACUGAGACACGGACCAG
rnacentral:rRNA from 1 species